CGUGUAGGCGGCUUGGUAAGUCCGCUCUGAAAGCCCGGGGCUCAACCCCGGGAGGCGGGUGGAUACUGUCAAGCUCGAGUCCGGAAGAGGCGAGUGGAAUUCCCGGUGUAGCGGUGAAAUGCGCAGAUAUCGGGAGGAACACCAAUGGCGAAGGCAGCUCGCUGGGACGUGACUGACGCUGAGACGCGAAAGCGUGGGGAGCAAACA
rnacentral:rRNA from 1 species